rnacentral:rRNA from 1 species
CAGUAGCCGCGGUAAUACGUAGGGUGCAAGCGUUAAUCGGAAUUACUGGGCGUAAAGCGUGCGCAGGCGGUUAUAUAAGACAGAUGUGAAAUCCCCGGGCUCAACCUGGGAACUGCAUUUGUGACUGUAUAGCUAGAGUACGGCAGAGGGGGAUGGAAUUCCGCGUGUAGCAGUGAAAUGCGUAGAUAUGCGUAGGAACACCGAUGGCGAAGGCAAUCCCCUGGGCCUGUACUGACGCUCAUGCACGAAAGCGUGGGGAGCAAACAGGAUUAGAUACCCCUGUAGUCCCUGUCUCUUAUAC